GGAACUCUCCAGUUUUGACUCAGAUCCUCUACCUCCUGCCCCUCUUCUGUGUCUGGCAGUGUUUCGCCGUGCGCUCCCUAGGCUGGGUAGAGAUGACCGAGGAGGAGCUGGCCCCUGGACGCAGCAGUGUGGCAGUCAACAAUUGCAUCCGUCAGCUCUCUUACCACAAAAACAACCUGCAUGACCCCAUGUCUGGGGGCUGGGGGGAAGGAAAGGAUCUGCUACUGCAGCUGGAGGAUGAGACACUAAAGCUAGUGGAGCCACAGAGCCAGGCACUGCUGCACGCCCAACCCAUCAUCAGCAUCCGCGUGUGGGGCGUCGGGCGGGACAGUGGAAGGGACUUUGCCUACGUAGCUCGUGAUAAGCUGACCCAGAUGCUCAAGUGCCACGUGUUUCGCUGUGAGGCACCCGCCAAGAACAUCGCCACCAGCCUGCAUGAGAUCUGCUCUAAGAUCAUGGCCGAACGGCGUAAUGCCCGCUGCUUGGUAAAUGGACUCUCCCUGGACCACUCUAAACUUGUGGAUGUCCCUUUCCAAGUGGAAUUCCCAGCGCCUAAGAAUGAGUUGGUCCAGAAGUUCCAAGUCUAUUACCUGGGGAAUGUACCUGUUGCUAAACCUGUUGGGGUAGAUGUGAUUAAUGGGGCCCUCGAGUCAGUCCUGUCCUCCAGCAGCCGUGAACAAUGGACCCCAAGUCAUGUCAGUGUGGCCCCUGCUACCCUCACCAUCUUGCACCAACAGACAGAGGCAGUGCUGGGAGAGUGUCGGGUGCGUUUCCUCUCCUUCCUGGCCGUGGGCAGAGAUGUCCACACGUUUGCAUUCAUCAUGGCUGCCGGCCCAGCCUCCUUCUGCUGCCACAUGUUCUGGUGCGAGCCCAAUGCUGCCAGCCUCUCAGAGGCUGUGCAGGCUGCGUGCAUGCUUCGCUACCAGAAGUGUCUGGAUGCCCGUUCCCAGGCCUCCACCUCCUGCCUCCCAGCACCCCCUGCUGAGUCUGUGGCACGGCGUGUAGGGUGGACUGUCCGCAGGGGUGUUCAGUCGCUGUGGGGCUCCCUGAAGCCCAAACGGCUGGGGGCCCAUACCCCAUGAAGAAGCCCCCACCUUCCCUCCACCUGCUUGUGUUGGGCCCCAGGGAACUAAAGGGUGUGGGUCAGGGAGGGGUCUAGAGGCUAUUCCUAGGCCUCAGGCCUCCCAAAUAUGCCCCUCCCCAGUAGCUACGGUUCCCUGCCUAGGAGCUGGGGAGGGAGAGAUCUAAUCCCUUCAAGGAAGUGAUAACACUGGAGUGGUAACAAGAGGAGCAGGAAGCAAGGCCAGCCCUGGUUCUCCAUCCCCAUGUGUUUCAGGUGGAACAGGAGGAACUGGUCCAGGCCAGGCCUCAUCCUCCUGGACCCAGCAGGGGCAGAAGGAGGAAGGGACUGGUCCAGGCAUGGGUCCCUUCCCCCUGCUCCAUGGGCACCUCUGCUGU
rnacentral:sRNA from 1 species